rnacentral:lncRNA from 1 species
UUAGGACCUUAGGCUACUGUUCAUGGUCUUCUUCACUUUGAAGAAGACAAAAACGACCAAAAACCCUCACUGCCAUCUUGGUCUCCCUCACGCCCAAGCGACAACCAGUCGACCACCCCAACUCCACGCAUAGCUUGUCGACCUGAAACCAGCUUCCAAACGAUCCCCGUCGCCAACCCUCGUUACAGUAACGAACCAGAAAUUCCUGCUCCUUCACAUCUCAAAACCAUCAUUGACCCAUCACCGGAAAAACCAAACAGACCCCUCAUCUCUGUCAACCAACGACCAGCAGUCCUGCUGCUCGUCGUCAACCAGUCGACGUCCAGCAACCACCUUCUUCACAACAACGAACCAGCUCCCCCGUCACACCCUGUUCAAACGACACCGGUCCGCCUCCGUUAUCAUCCAUACUUGUUCGUCGACCAGCACUCCCUGAACGAACCACCAUCACUGCCUCGCGUCCUGAUGAACAACCCAUUAACGACCAUCGUCUUCUUGACGCACCUCACUGAAUGCACACGCACAAACGCACAACCCCACAAAGAUAUUUGGUUUUCAAUGGAGUUCGAUGGAGGUCGAGUCGCAUGAGAUCCGUCCGAAGUUUCCGUCGAGGUCCGUUCGCAGUUCGUCGAGUUUUCGGCGAGACGUUCCAAUAGAGACCUUGUCCGUGGUUUUGACGUUUCAUUCCCGAGUUUGCUAUUGAGGUCCAGUUCUCUAUCUUUUUACCUUGAUAUUUAUCAUCUAUUGGAAUGAAAAUGGCAUGGAAUUCCUAUGAACUGUUUGUGUGU